rnacentral:rRNA from 1 species
CAGUCGCCACGGUAAUACGAAGGGGGCUAGCGUUGUUCGGAAUUACUGGGCGUAAAGCGCACGUAGGCGGAUACUUAAGUCAGGGGUGAAAUCCCGGGGCUCAACCCCGGAACUGCCUUUGAUACUGGGUAUCUCGAGUCCGGAAGAGGUGAGUGGAAUUCCGAGUGUAGAGGUGAAAUUCGUAGAUAUUCGGAGGAACACCAGUGGCGAAGGCGGCUCACUGGUCCGGUACUGACGCUGAGGUGCGAAAGCGUGGGGAGCAAACAGGAUUAGAUACCCCGGUAGUCCCUGUCUCUUAUAC